GAUGAACGCUGGCGGCAGGCCUAACACAUGCAAGUCGAGGGAGAGGGUACCUUCGGGUAACCAAAACCGGCGCACGGGGGCGUAAGACGAAUACAAGCUGACGUUCACAUAGGGAUAGCCCGACGACACGAGGAUUAAUACAAAACGGCAUAUAAGCGCGGCAUCGUAUUAAUAUUAAAGCUACGGAGGUGAAAGAGGAGUAUGCGUUCGAUUAGCUAGUUGGAGAGGUAACGGCCCACCAAGGCGACGAUAGCUAUGGGUUCUGAGAGGGAGGUCCCCCACACUGGUACUGAGAUACGGACCAGACUCCUACGGGAGGCAGCAGUGAGGAAUAUUGGACAAUGGUCGGGAGACUGAUCCAGCCAUGCCGCGUGCAGGAUGAAGGUCCUAUGGAUUGUAAACUGCGUUUGUAAGGGAAGAAUAAGGAUUACGUGUACUUUGAUGACGGUACCUUACGAAUAAGCAUCGGCUAACUCCGUG
rnacentral:rRNA from 1 species